GCCGAAAGGUAGCUUGCUCUCGCGUUGUUCGCGGCGGCAGGGUGAGUAACACGUGGGUAACCUGCCUGCUAAAGACUGGGAUAACUCCGGGAAACCGGAGCUAAUACCGGAUAGUUCCUUGAACCGCAUGGUUCAAGGAUGAAAGACGGUUUCGGCUGUCACUUACAGAUGGACCCGCGGCGCAUUAGCUAGUUGGUGGGGUAAUGGCUCACCAAGGCGACGAUGCGUAGCCGACCUGAGAGGGUGAUCGGCCACACUGGGACUGAGACACGGCCCAGACUCCUACGGGAGGCAGCAGUAGGGAAUCUUCCGCAAUGGACGAAAGUCUGACGGAGCAACGCCGCGUGAGUGAUGAAGGUUUUCGGAUCGUAAAGCUCUGUUGUUAGGGAAGAACAAGUGCGAGAGUAACUGCUCGCACCUUGACGGUACCUAACCAGAAAGCCACGGCUAACUACGUGCCAGCAGCCGCGGUAAUACGUAGGUGGCAAGCGUUGUCCGGAAUUAUUGGGCGUAAAGGGCUCGCAGGCGGUUUCUUAAGUCUGAUGUGAAAGCCCCCGGCUCAACCGGGGAGGGUCAUUGGAAACUGGGAAACUUGAGUGCAGAAGAGGAGAGUGGAAUUCCACGUGUAGCGGUGAAAUGCGUAGAGAUGUGGAGGAACACCAGUGGCGAAGGCGACUCUCUGGUCUGUAACUGACGCUGAGGAGCGAAAGCGUGGGGAGCGAACAGGAUUAGAUACCCUGGUAGUCCACGCCGUAAACGAUGAGUGCUAAGUGUUAGGGGGUUUCCGCCCCUUAGUGCUGCAGCUAACGCAUUAAGGCACUCCGCCCUGGGGAGUACAGUCGCAAGACUGAAACUCAAAGGGAAUUGACGGGGGGGGCCCGGCAACAAAGCCGGGUGGGAAGCAAUUGUGG
rnacentral:rRNA from 1 species